rnacentral:tRNA from 1 species
AAGACCUUAAGUUAAAUAAACUAAUAACCUUCAAAGUUAUAAUUAAAAGUGAACUUUUAGGUCUUA